rnacentral:lncRNA from 1 species
GAAGCUGGAAGAAUUUUGAGAACAGUCCUGUCUGCCCGAAGAGGGAGCCAAGUCCCUCUGCCAUACCUAGAAGUCUGUGUGAGGCAGAGCUACGUGGGUGAGCAGAGAAAACCUGGAGCUGGAGCUGCUUGAGCCUUGCUUGCCCUUGGACCCUGCAGCUGAAUGAGGAAACUGAAACUGAGAAAAGCUAAGGAACUUGCUCAUAUGCUGGAUGAACUGGGAUUCCAGUGCAGGCUGAGUGACCCAGGGCCUGAGCUUCACACAAGGCUUGAAGAGGACCUGUCCUGCAAAGAAUGCCAGGGAGCCACAUGAAGGAAGAAGAGCUUUUCUCACCCAGAAUCGAUACUGUUGUGACUCCCAGGGAGGUGGUCCAAAGGAUUCUUUGGGUUUCAUUUUUCAGGUUUAAAUUUAGUCCAUCUAGAAUUUAUGGUGGUAUCUUGUG